rnacentral:rRNA from 1 species
GACGAACGCUGGCGGCGUGCCUAAUACAUGCAAGUCGAGCGGAAUGAUGAAGAAGCUUGCUUCUUCUGAUUUUAGCGGCGGACGGGUGAGUAACACGUGGGCAACCUACCUUGUAGAUUGGGAUAACUCCGGGAAACCGGGGCUAAUACCGAAUAAUCCAUUUUGCUUCAUGGCGAGAUGUUGAAAGACGGUUUCGGCUGUCACUACAAGAUGGGCCCGCGGCGCAUUAGCUAGCUGGUAGGGUAAUGGCCUACCAAGGCGACGAUGCGUAGCCGACCUGAGAGGGUGAACGGCCACACUGGGACUGAGACACGGCCCAGACUCCUACGGGAGGCAGCAGUAGGGAAUCUUCCACAAUGGACGAAAGUCUGAUGGAGCAACGCCGCGUGAGUGAAGAAGGUUUUCGGAUCGUAAAACUCUGUUGUAAGGGAAGAACACGUACGAGAGUAACUGCUCGUACCUUGACGGUACCUUAUUAGAAAGCCACGGCUAACUACGUG